rnacentral:snRNA from 1 species
CUGCUUACCUGGCAGGGGAGAUAACAUGAUCAUGAAGGUGGUUUUCCCAGGGUGAGGCUCACUGAUUGCACUCUGGGUGUGCUGACCCCUGCGAUUUCCCCAAAUGUGGGAAACUCGACUGCAUAAUUUGUUGUAGUGGGGGACUGCAUUCGCGUUAUCCCCUG